rnacentral:sRNA from 1 species
UUUCAUUUCCAUUCUGUACCCUAAAGAAGUCAAAUCGAAAAAUCAACUUGAAAGCUUAAUUUUAAAUCAAUAUAGCAUGAUUUCGACGCACAGACAUUCACACGAACAUCGCUAAAUCGCCUUAGCUUUUUACAACUACCAAGAUCGUGAUCGAAUCCAUUCACUUUUGGUCGAUAUAACUACCUUUUUCCUUGACUAUUGCUCUGAGUCGGUCUAACAAUGACUUUCCUCAGCGCAUCCAUACUGGCAUAUUAUUUGGUUCUUACCUUGCUCUCUUAAAUGGCCGAAAAAGAAAAGUUCAUUGGAUUGGCAUCUGGCGAAUUGGAUAGCCGCGAUGUGAAUGAAAUGAAGUACAGAACGGACGGUGCCGAGUCAUGUUGGCUAAACCAACGUGCCACUCCACUGUUGCCAACAUUCACACCAAAAACUUGAACAUUUAGUUCUUUAUUAUCGUAUGCG